AGUUCGGAUUGAAGGCUGAAAUUCGCCUUCAUGAAGCCGGAAUUGCUAGUAAUGGCAGGUCAGCAUACUGCCGUGAAUACGUUCCCGGGCCUUGUACACACCGCCCGUCACACCAUGAGAGUUGGGAAUACCCGAAGCCUGUGAGCUAACUAUACGAGGCAGCAGUCGAAGGUAGAAUCAAUGAUUGGGGUGAAGUCGUAACAAGGUACC
rnacentral:rRNA from 1 species